GCCUGAGUGGUGGAAUUGGUAGACACGCUGGUCUUAGGAACCAGUGCUUCGGCGUGUGGGUUCGAGUCCCACCUUAGGUA
rnacentral:tRNA from 1 species